UCCUCUGUUAUGACCAAGCUCCAGCAGCUCUAUGCAGUGGCCAGCUGGUGAAAAACUGAGGCCUCUUGCCAAGAGCCAGCAAUGAAGUGAAGCCUUCUGCCAAACAGCCUAGAAGGGAACCACCUUGGAACUUACCUGUGGCAUGUGGAGCCUGCUCAACUUGAAUAAAUGGCUGUUUAUGGAU